AUUGAACGCUGGCGGCAUGCUUUACGCAUGCAAGUCGAACGGUAACAGGCCUUCGGGCGCUGACGAGUGGCGAACGGGUGAGUAAUGCAUCGGAACGUGCCCAGUCGUGGGGGAUAACGCAGCGAAAGCUGUGCUAAUACCGCAUACGAUCUAUGGAUGAAAGCGGGGGACCGUAAAGCCUCGCGCGAUUGGAGCGGCCUAUGGCAGAUUAGGUAGUUGGGGGGGUAAAGGCUCACCAAGCCAACGAUCUGUAGCUGGUCUGAGAGGACGACCAGCCGCACUGGAAAUGAGACACGGUCCAGACUCCUACGGGAGGCAGCAGUGGGGAAUUUUGGACAAUGGGCGCAAGCCUGAUCCAGAAAUGCCGCGUGGAGGAAGAAGGCCUUCGGGUUGUAAACUGCUUUUGUACGGAACGAAACGGCGAGCUCUAAUACAGUUUGCUAAUGACGGUACCGUAAGAAUAAGCACCGGCUAACUACGUGCCAGCCGCCGCCGUAACAC
rnacentral:rRNA from 1 species